AUUUGGGAGGUGAUUAAGUCAUGAGGCAUCUGCCCUCAUGAAUGGAUUAGUGCAUUAUAAAAAGGCUGGAGGGAACUAGUGUAGGACCUUCUUUGCUCUCCUGCUGUUCCUUCAUGUGAGGAUACAACAUUCUCCCACCUUUGCUCUUUUACCUUCCACCAGGCUAGGACACAGUGUUCAGGUGCCAUCUUGGAAGCAGAGACUGGACCCUCGCCAGACACAAAACCCACUGGCACCUUGAUCUUGGAUUUCCCAGCCUCUGGAACUGUGAGAAUAAAUUUCUGUUCUUUAUAAAUUACCUAGUUUCUGAUAGUUUGUUAAAACAGUACAAAUGGACUAAGACAAAUAGAGAAAGAAGGCAUAAGUUUGUGUGUUUCUACUUUGAGUGAUUUUGGUCACAGGUCUACCGCCAGAGAGUCCCUCCAGAUACAGGGACUCCCCACAUAAUGGGGUCUUCCACUCCAGCACAGCUCACGCAACCAAGGCGCAGUCCUGGGGGAUGAUUUCAGGGCAGGGCUAUUUCCAGGCUGCCUGCUCCCUCACCAGUUCCUCUCAGAACACCCUGAUGGCAUCAACACCUGAAAUUUUUCAGCUAUUACUUCAAACUGCCUCAAUGUACCAAAAACCAUGAUGCUAAGCCAUAUCAAGGGGGAUAAAAGAGUUUUCCCCUCAACUAAAUCAAAAGGGAAAACAAAACAAAACAAAAGCUGAUGAAAUCACAACUUACAAUAGUAGAAUCAGAAAAGCUGGUCAUAAAGCACACGGUGAAUUCAAAGCACUUUGGCCGAAGGCAGACUGUAUAUCUCUCCGGCAGGAACUCAUGCUGCACAGCUGUUUUGUCUCUGGCAGUGUCAAAUCCUAUACCUGCUGGAAGCAACAGGGAACCCAAGUUCAGGAGCACAGUUUUUUUCUUACUCAGUAUAUAAGGAAGAGCUUGGGAAGACUACAGAAUAUUUGCUGCCAUGUAUUUGCAUCGAAAUCCUUUUAAACCAACUGCAAGAGGAAACAGAAAUAUUCCAGCAUCUGAAAGAACAAAGAGUGUAGUCUUCUAGAGAAAUAAUGUUAUUUGCAUGAAUAUAUAAACCCUGUAGUAAAUUAUUUGUUCAAGCCUCUAUGGAAAAUUCCUGAGCAAAUAGACAGAAGCAAAAUAGGAAGUAAAAUGCUUCAAUUUUACCCUUUCUUUAAAG
rnacentral:lncRNA from 10 species